UACGUAGGUGGCGAGCGUUUGUCCGGAAUUACUGGGUGUAAAGCGCGUGUAGGCGGGAGGCCAAGUCUGCGGUGAAAUCGCUCGGCUCAACUGGGCGGGGUCCGUGGAAACUGGUCACCUGGAGGACGGGUAGGAGGCGAGUGGAAUUCCCGGUGUAGUGGUGAAAUGCGUAGAGAUCGGGAGGAACACCAGUGGCGAAGGCGGCUCGCUGGGCCGGACCUGACGCUGAGACGCGAAGGCGUGGGGAGCGAACGGG
rnacentral:rRNA from 1 species